rnacentral:rRNA from 1 species
UACGUAGGGUGCGAGCGUUGUCCGGAAUUAUUGGGCGUAAAGGGCUCGUAGGCGGUCUGUCACGUCGGGAGUGAAAACUCAGGGCUUAACCCUGAGCCUGCUUCCGAUACGGGCAGACUAGAGGUAUGCAGGGGAGAACGGAAUUCCUGGUGUAGCGGUGAAAUGCGCAGAUAUCAGGAGGAACACCGGUGGCGAAGGCGGAUCUCUGGGCCUGUCCUGACGCUGAGGCGCGAAAGCUAGGGGAGCGAACAGG